rnacentral:lncRNA from 1 species
CAGAAUCAAACAAAACUGAAGCAUGAAUACCAGAUACAGGAAUGGUACCUGUCACCACAGUAUUGGAGGCCUGAGCAUCCUGUUGUGUGAGUGCAUAGAUUCUUCCUUGAGUUUUCGGCCUUUGACCUCCGUCCUUUGCUUGUGUUGAUCUAUUUUCGUCCAUCUACGGGCAAUCUGCAAUCUUGUGUCCUUUCUGGCCACAUCUAAAACACGAACCAGUAUUCCAUGGGCAAUUUGAAAUCUCAUGCUCUCUUCGACUGCAUCUCGAACAUCUAGCUGUCUCAUUCUCACGAUUCUUAUCAGUUGCUGGCUUCUUUGCUGGAACCUUAUUGUUCUGAUUUCAUCCUUGAGUUCCACUAAAUCUAUUUCUCUUCUUCUGAUUCCGUUCACGCUCCGCAUGAGCUUUAUUAGCUUCUCUCUCAAUUAUUAGAGCUUUGUUCACAACUGAGGCAUAGGUAGUUAGCUCAUAGGGUACAAUCUAUUUUCUGAUUUCUGUCUUCAGUCCCAUUUCAAAUUUGUGUACCCUGUCUUGCUCAAUCUCAACUAGUCUCGAAACAAACUUGGCUAACUCCGUGAAUUUGGCUUCAUAUUCUGCAACGGAUCUGUUACCCUAUCUCAGGUGAAUGAACUCCUGUUCUUUCUGUAUUCUGACACUUCGAGAGAAAAACUUGUCGAAGAAUUCAUCUCAAAAUCUCUCCCAAGUGAGUGGUAUCCCAUCGUGCUCAUAUUUUUGUUCCAGUAUACGCCACCAGUUGUAUGCCUCGCCUUGUAACAG